rnacentral:rRNA from 1 species
GACGGAGGGUGCAAGCGUUGUUCGGAAUUACUGGGCGUAAAGGGCGCGUAGGCGGUCUGUUAAGUUCGGUGUGAAAGCCCCCGGCUCACCUGGGGAACUGCGCCGGAAACCGACAGACUCGAGUACCGGAGAGGAGGGUGGAAUUCCUGGUGUAGCGGUGAAAUGCGCAGAUAUCGGGAGGAACACCGGUGGCGAAGGCGGUUCUCUGGGCCUUACCUGACGCUGAGGAGCGAAAGCGUGGGGAGCGAACAGG